UACGAAGGGGGGCUAGCGUUGCUCGGAAUCACUGGGCGUAAAGCGCACGUAGGCGGAUUGCUAAGUCAGGGGUGAAAUCCUGGAGCUCAACUCCAGAACUGCCCUUGAUACUGGCGGUCUCGAGUCCCGGGAGAGGUGAGUGGAACUGCGAGUGUAGAGGUGAAAUUCGUAGAUAUUCGCAAGAACACCAGUGGCGAAGGCGGCUCACUGGCCCGGUACUGACGCUGAGGUGCGAAAGCGUGGGGAGCAAACAGG
rnacentral:rRNA from 1 species